rnacentral:rRNA from 1 species
UACGUAGGGUGCGAGCGUUGUCCGGAAUUAUUGGGCGUAAAGAGCUUGUAGGCGAUUUGUCGCGUCUGCUGUGAAAAUCCGGGGCUCAACCCCGGACUUGCAGUGGGUACGGGCAGACUAGAGUGUGGUAGGGGAGACUGGAAUUCCUGGUGUAGCGGUGAAAUGCGCAGAUAUCAGGAGGAACACCGAUGGCGAAGGCAGGUCUCUGGGCCACUACUGACGCUGAGAAGCGAAAGCAUGGGGAGCAAACAGG